rnacentral:rRNA from 1 species
CUACGGGAGGCUGCAGUGAGGAAUUUUGCGCAAUGGGGGCAACCCUGACCCAGCCACGCCGCGUGAGCGAAGAAGGCCCUCGGGUCGUAAAGCUCUGUCAAGUGGGAAAAAAAUCUUUUGAUCAAUAGUCACAAGCCUUGACGGUACCACUGGAGGAAGCACCGGCUAACUCCGUGCCAGCAGCCGCGGUAAUACGGAGGGUGCAAGCGUUGUUCGGAUUUACUGGGCGUAAAGAGCGUGUAGGUGGUUUAGCAAGUCAGAUGUGAAAGCCCUGGGCUCAACCCGGGAAGUGCACUUGAAACUGAUUCGCUAGAGUAUGAGAGAGGAGAGUGGAAUUCCUGGUGUAGAGGUGAAAUUCGUAGAGAUCAGGAGGAACACCCGUGGCGAAGGCGAUUCUCUGGACCGAUACUGACGCUGAGACGCGAAAGCGUGGGGAGCAAACAGGAUUAGAUACCCCGGUAGUC